rnacentral:rRNA from 1 species
GACGAACGCUGGCGGCGUGCUUAACACAUGCAAGUCGAGCGGUAAGGCCCUUUCGGGGGUACACGAGCGGCGAACGGGUGAGUAACACGUGGGUGACCUGCCCUCAGCUCUGGGAUAAGCCUGGGAAACCGGGUCUAAUACUGGAUAUGACUCCAUGACGCAUGUUGUGGGGUGGAAAGCCUUGUGCGGCUGAGGAUGGGCCCGCGGCCUAUCAGCUUGUUGGUGGGGNGAUGGCCUACCAAGGCGACGACGGGUAGCCGGCCUGAGAGGGCGACCGGCCACACUGGGACUGAGACACGGCCCAGACUCCUACGGGAGGCAGCAGUGGGGAAUCUUGCGCAAUGGGCGAAAGCCUGACGCAGCGACGCCGCGUGAGGGAUGACGGCCUCGGU